GGACCCACAGGCCUUCCUUCCCGCCGACGCCAGCGCAGCUCUCGGGCGCCACCACGCGGCCCCGAAGCCGCACUGCAGCUCCAGACUCGGGGCCGGGCAGCGCGGCGUGCGGAGUCCCGGACCCCCAGGAUCUGGGCGGAGCCGACCUGCUCCAACCGUCCCCGGGGGCCGGGAGUGUGCGCUGAGCUGCGGCCCCUCCCGGGCUGGGUAGGACAGAGGAAGCCCCGCUCGGCGCCGUCUGUGUGCUUCUGCAGUUUGGGACGGACUGAGUUCUCCCGGGAAGAAACCCAGCUCAGCUGUGUCGGCCCUGGGACGUCUCUUUUCCCUUUCUUUACAGUGGGAAAGGUGCUCGUCGCCCUUGGUUCGUUAUCACUUCAAUAUGGAUCUGAAGUACAAGGACACCCAGGCCGAUGCUGACCUGGAGAAGGAAGGAGGCCGCCCACCAGCGGUCGCGGACCUGCGGACCUGCGCUGGCCUGCAGCCUGCGAGGGGACGGAGGUCUCAGCCCCGCGCCCACAGCGCGGAGCCCGGCCCCUCUACCCCUUCCUGCGAGCCUGAGGAGCCUCCUGGUUUCUGCUUGGCUCAAUAAGGACGCAUCUCCCUGUGGGCAGAGUCAUUCCAUCGCCCCGACACAGGUUCAGGAACUCGUGUGCUUCUGGGGCAGAGUUCUGGAAACCCAGGCUCGGUAGGAUGGUUGUGGUGGUGACGUUGCAGCCAGGCCGUCAGGAGUCUGGAAGCAAGUGUCGCUGUUGGCAGCAUCUCCCGGGGGCUCUGAGGGCUCUGAAACGCCUGUCCUGUGUUGAAGCUUUCCAGCAUGAAGGGCCCUCAGGCUCAGGCUUCUGACCUCACUCGCGGCGGAACCUUCUGGAACACUAAAGAAUAAGACAAGGAGCAGGAUGCUCUUGCGAUGGAUCCUCGGGGUGAGACAUGUCUGCCCACUCCCGAGUGUGAAUAAACCGGUAAAGGAAGGCGCAAGCAGAUCAAGAGCCGUAUUUCAGGAUUUGAUUCACAAACUGUUUAAAAACCGAGGCCGCUGCUUGUAAACUGUCAGAUACUCUUAUUUUCAAAUGUGUUUCCGUUUGUCUGAAGCCUUUUUACUUGUUUAUUCCGAUCUGUCUUGCUUUCUUGGAUUUGUUCUAAUUGUUAUCUUUCUAAGGAGCUUUCCUGUCCGUCCUCCAAAAAAACCCUUCACUGAAUCUGUUAUCUUGCAGAGCUUGAAAUGCUGACACCGUCUCUGUGUCAUGUUCUGUCAUUGCUCCUGACUUCCUUCCUCCUUCUUUCUUAAAUUUGGCAAAAGAGAGAGGAGAGAGGGUCCCGUUUCCUUGCCCCUCAGCCAGGCCGCGAGGCCGCCGGGCGGACACCGUGAUGGCGGAGGAGGCCGGAAAUCUGGAGUGAGUGUGGGGCUCGGGCAGCGGUCCGCGGGCCGAGUUUGGCCCUUGGUUUGUGAGUUCUACUUCCUGUUUCACACAAGUGUUGUCCGGGCCGCUUCCUGACAGGUACCUGGUGGCACGCCUGCUCCUCCCGGAGUUUCUGGAAGGGAACCGGCAGGAAUCGCACUGGGCUGCGUGAUGCACACGUUCCCAAGGUGUUUUCGGCCUUCACUCGCUUAGGUUCCAAGCAGAGGAUCCUGCACAAUUAAAGGUACUUGAGGCUUGGGACGGAGCGGAGGAAAGAUGCUUCCCCUCUGCCUUUCUGAGGUCUUCACUGAGACCCGGUAAUGAGCGCGUGAGAGGAGAAAGGCCGACCGGAGUCUGUGGACACGUUGGCCCAGGUGUGGGGGGGGGGCCGGGGGAAAUGAGUGGCUGUCGCCGUGCUGGGAAGUCCAGCUUGGACGGCGUCUCCAGCAAAGAACGACAGAUUUGUGGUGAAAUCACGGCACAGAGGAACGCGUGUCCAGCCAAGGGCAGAGAGCAGGCCAGUCAGUCAAGUUUGUUGUUGGAUUUCUGGGCUGUUGGGGCCUAAGGCUGUCUGGGGGUGAACCUCUGUCUUUCUUGGCAGGGGGGCGAGAAGGGGCCUCUUGGUAAACUUCUGUCCUAAGUCUUCUCUCUUGCCUUCAGCUCACAAUAAUCCUUGUGCCCAGGCAGCAUAUUUGGGGGUGGCCUAACCCACCACCUCGGGGUCUUUCUUGUCCACGUUCCUUUGGAGGUUGAGAGAGGGGAACUGCUAUGGAAAAAAAUGGGCUCAGGUUUGCUGCGGGUGUGAACCAGAUUUCGGGCACCCUGCCAGGCCUCUUGCGCUAGGUGAACCCCACUCAGAACCUUCCAGAUGUCUUUACAUAAAAUGGAAAAGCGCAGUGCGUAGGCCGGGGCUGCACAGAUUCAGGAAAGCGCUGGUCUGUCUGUGGUCUCUCCCCCCCCUGAGCUCCAGCCUCCCCCCUGCCCGAGAGCUCAUCUGAUGCACAACUGUGGCACCUCCUGGGCCCGCACAAAACCUCAGUGGCCAGAGUCUGAGUCUGGCCUGUCUUCUCUUACUUGUUCUCAAAAAACAACCUGGGAGUCUGACUCCAGCCGGACGCCAUGGCGCACCCUGCCUGACAGGGACAGCCACACUCCGACAGUCAGGCUCAGAGAUCCUCGACGGAACCUCCAAGUCACAGCGUGAGUCCCUGCUUUCCGUCUCUGCUGCAGGAUCCCCGUCACUCAGUUCUUAACCCAGUCUUACCUGUCACCAGCAAACCCGUCACUUUCUAUCAGCUACAGAAACCUGACUCAUUUUCCCUGCAUCCCAGUCCCUCGUGAUGGGACGCAAUUACCUGGUAAGAGAUUCUCUUUGCCUCAAAUAACAAUGGAGCGCAGGCUUUACCUGCUAUGCAAACUCUCGAACGCAUGCCCUACAUAUUUAGGGGCAACUUACACUCUUGAAAAUAGAAAACCAAACAGUGAAGGCCCCGCUGGGAUUCGAACCCAGGAUCUCCUGUUUACUAGACAGGCGCUUUGACCAGCUAAGCCACGGAGCCCCUUUUUGAGUUUCUGUUCAGUUAUAUCAUAUUUAUACCAUUUUCUGCAAAUUUUAGUGACUUGAUUUUGUGACAAAGAGAAGAUAUCUGUGUUUCUGAGCUUGUACGGAAACAGAAACUUUAACAUUUGAAGAAAAUGCAUUCUUCUAUGCAGGGAAGGUUUAAAAAUUUUCAAAUUAAAAAAAAAAAAAAA